AGCAGCCGCGGUAAUUCCAGCUCCAAUAGCGUAUAUUAAAGUUGUUGCAGCUAAAAAGCUCGUAGUUGAAUUUCGGGAUUGACGUGAUGGUCGUGCCUUAAGGGGUAUGAACUGUCGCAGUUGAUUUCUCACCUUCUGGAGAAGCAUGAUGUCCUUAAUUGGGUGUCAUGUGGAACCAGGACCUUUACCUUGAAAAAAUUAGAGUGUUUAAAGCAGGCAUUUUGCUCGAAUACAUUAGCAUGGAAUAAUAGAAUAGGACGGCAUGGUUCUAUUUUGUUGGUUUCUAGGAUCACCGUAAUGAUUAAUAGGGAUAGUUGGGGGCAUUAGUAUUCAAUUGUCAGAGGUGAAAUUCUUGGAUUUAUUGAAGACUAACUACUGCGAAAGCAUUGCCAAGGAUUGUUUUCAUUAAUCAAGAACGAAAGUUAGGGAUCGAAGACGAUCAGAUACCGUCGUAGUCUUAACCAUAAACUAUGCCGACUAGGAAUCAGACGAUGUUAAUUUUUAAUGUACG
rnacentral:rRNA from 1 species